AAGCAUAUCAAUAAGCGGAGGAAAAGAAACCAACAGGGAUUGCCCUAGUAACGGCGAGUGAAGCGGCAACAGCUCAAAUUUGAAAUCUGGCCUCGGCCCGAGUUGUAAUUUGCAGAGGAUGCUUCUGGCGCGGUGCCUUCCGAGUUCCCUGGAACGGGACGCCACAGAGGGUGAGAGCCCCGUAUGGUCGGACACCAAGCCUGUGUGAAGCUCCUUCGACGAGUCGAGUAGUUUGGGAAUGCUGCUCUAAAUGGGAGGUAAAUCUCUUCUAAAGCUAAAUACCGGCCAGAGACCGAUAGCGCACAAGUAGAGUGAUCGAAAGAUGAAAAGCACCUUGAAAAGGGGGUUAAAUAGUACGUGAAAUUGUUGAAAGGGAAGCACUUAUGACCAGACUUGGGCCGGGCGGCUCAUCAGGGGUUCUCCCCUGUGCACUCCGCCCGGCACAGGCCAGCAUCGGUUCUCGUGGGGGGAUAAGACCGUCAGGAACGUAGCACUCUCCGGAGUGUGUUAUAGCCUGGCGGACGAUACCCCCGUGGGGACCGAGGUCCGCGCAUUGCAAGGAUGCUGGCGUAAUGGUCAUCAGUGACCC
rnacentral:rRNA from 1 species